GUAGGGGAAAGGGCAUUCAUUCCCAGGCGUGAAGUUUGCUGAGAGCUUUGCUAGUUCGCGGUCUUUUGCUCGUGUUGUCCCAGGCAGGCUGCAUUCACAGGCACACUGGAAACCCGCUGAUGGCUUCGGUGCUCUGCAAGAUCAUGUCCGCCAGCAGAAAGCAGAAGCCUGGCAGGAGGAGAGUGCAGAGCCGGGGAAGGAAGGAACGAGAAGGGUAAAGCCAGCCAUCCGAAAAAGUAGGACCAGGAGAAGAAGACUUCCGGCUUCCAGGCAUUCCUUGCAGUGUACCCGAUCAACGCAAUCAGCAGCAGCAGCCCUGGGCCACGCCCACCCGUCAGGUGACCAGACAGGCUCUGGCUACGUAGGCCAGGUUUUCCUGAACGUCUUAAGGCCCUCGCUUCUCCCAAGUGCUGGAACUGUAGGUGUGCACCGUCACGUCUGUGUCUGCCCAAUCCUUACACGCAACUGGAUUGUCUGCCAUCAUUCCUGGGAGAUGGAAGGGGGUGACCCGUGGAAAGCCCUUGAGCUAGGAAGCACUUGCUGCCCAGGCAGUAACGCCACAGGCCCUGGUGUGCGAAGGACCCCGACAGCCGGUACUGCAUCCAGUGGUCCGUC